CAAUAGCGUAUAUUAAAGUUGUUGCAGUUAAAAAGCUCGUAGUUGGAUUUCUGGUGGGGGUGUUUGGCCGGCUCUAAUGAGUUUUGCGCCUAUACGUCUCCGCCAUCCUUGGGGAAAACUUGCUUGGCAUUAAGUUGUCGAGUUUGGGAUCCCCAUCGUUUACUGUGAAAAAAUUAGAGUGUUCAAAGCAGGCUUAUGCCGUUGAAUACAUUAGCAUGGAAUAAUAAUAUAGGGCGUAAGUUCUAUUUUGUUGGUUUCUAGAACAUACGCAAUGAUUAAUAGGGAUAAUUGGGGGCACUCGUAUUAACACGUCAGAGGUGGAAUUCUUAGAUUGUGUUACGACGAACUACUGCGAAAGCAUUUGCCAAGGAUGUUUUCAUUGAUCAAGAACGAAAGUAUGGGGAUCGAAGAUGAUCAGAUACCGU
rnacentral:rRNA from 1 species